AUCGCACAAGAUAUUACAGAUCACAAUGAAUACGUAUUUGCUACAGUAUAUGAUGUUGAAUGGUAUGUGGCUCCGUUACACAUACAGAAAAUGAUGUUAUUUCUACUGCAAAAGGGUACAAAAGCUUUUCAUUUGAUUCUCGGUGGAAUAUUCAUUGCGUCUAUGGAAAGUGCUGCUACGUUGAUGGGUACUUCAAUAUCUUACUUCACUGUUCUGUAUUCUACAAGUACGAAAUAAUAAUUGUAAAAUAAUUGAGACAGGUAUGUAUAAAAGUAAAAAAGAUAUGAGAAAGUAAGGGAGAGAGAAACGAAAAAGAAGAAAAAUGUAAACUAAUUUGACUAAAAUCGUUUAGCCCUCAAUUUUAGGUGUCGCUUGCUGUAAGUAAAGUUUCAAUUCGAAA